CUCGCGAAGCAGUCAGUCAGGUGGUGGCUCACGCGGGGAAGAACGACUCAAUCGGCGGGACGAAGAUGAGAAGCUCUCCCUUCUUUUCUUCUCGAGAAAGAAGGAUAACUUCCUCGAAAAGAAAGAAAGGGAAGCUCUCGGUUCCAAUCCAGAGAGCCGUGCUGCCUCUCUCCUGACGCUACUGCGCCAAAGUGGCGAGAUUUGCGUUGUUUCUAGGUGGUGGAGGUGGGCUUGUUUUGGAGGAUUUUGACCCCGAGCUUUUGCCUCGUAGUGCUGCCGCUACAUGGCUAUGGCGUACUGGAAGAUGCUUUGGAUUCACACACUGAAAGAGAGGGAGGAGCUCUCUCAAUCAUUCGAGACCAUGCAUAUGAAAAAAAGAGGCCCCGGGACAAAAUAGCACAGGCAUGUGGAUGGUGCAAAGCCAUCCAUCAACACCUUAGCGGCAAAUCUUUCGCUAUCUUUUGGAUGCUCGUCUUUGUCAGCUCGCUCCAAACAAAAACAAACACGCCCCCGGGUUUUAGUAUUCAAUCCCGACGAACAUUAUACGCAGUGAAAUCUUGCCUUGGGCAGUAAGAUUUGCCAUUGAUAUUAAUAAAACAUUUGAGAAUAGUAAUCAA